UUGAAGUUGGUGUCAAGUGCAGAAUCCAUGUACCUUACAAAGCCAUUGUCAAGAUGAAAGUGUAAAAAGUAUGGGAUUGGGUUAGUAUGGUGAUUCCUUUCAUUGAAAUGGUUUGCACCUCAAAUUAACUACUCUCCAUGAUUCCUGCAAGUCUGCUGGGUGCUGAGGCAUCUGUUCUCUCUGACGUCACCAGUCCUCAGCCUGUAUUUUUUACCUAAUGUUUACAAAUUCCAAAGCAUACUAAAGCGCCCUCAACACUCAGCCCCACAGAAUUUGGUCUGCUGUGGAGCUCUAAGGAACUCACUAUUUUUCCAAAAUAAUGUAUAAUGUUUCUACAUCUAUGUGAUUGUUCAAAAUCAAGGGUCAGCAAACUACAGCCUAUAGGCAAGUUGCCUAUUUCUGCGGAUAAAGUUAUAUGGGAACAUAGCCAUGGCCAUUCAUUAACAUGUUGUAUAAGGCUGCUUUUGUGUAUGAUGGCAGAGUUACAAAGCCUAAAAUGUUUAUUGCUUGGCCCUUUAAGAAAAAUUUUGCAAACCCCUCUUCUAGUUAGUUCUAGAAAUGAUCAGCAUGUUUGGGAAAACUUUGGGUUGUUGUAAAGGUUCAUAGCUGCAAAAUAGUGGUACAAUGUUUUCCCAGGCUAUUUUUAUUGUUUCUUAAUUCCUUAAUCACUUUAAGGAUUAAAUUUAGAGCCAAAAGUCACUCAGACAUCUCUAAAGAUUAUCUUACUGGCAUAAGCUAAAGCACAUAUUAUUGUACAUUCAUGGACUGAAAUAUUAAGUAAUUUGAUCUAGAUGAUUGUUUACAGUUUAACUCAAAUGUACUCAGUCUGUUCUGGUUAUUUAUUCAAGGAUUAUAUUUUCUUGCUACAUUCACUCAAGAAUAAUAGUAUGUGAUCAUUUCCUGUGUGAUCUGGAAUGUGGGGACCUCUCUCCAAAUGCAGCCCUCUGGUUUGUUUCCAUGAUGUGGAGUUGGCCUUUAGGUGAUGUGAUUGAGGUUUCCCAAACAGGAUGUUAAUUUUCACUCUUCACAGUUGGCAAAAUAAAAUCCUUUGUAUGAUUUUGAAGGCCAAAGAGCCUCAUAUCCUCUCACACCAUCUUUAAUUUAUAAAAUAAAUGUUAACUUGGUUUCUUUGUGCAUCAUUUGCAACAA
rnacentral:lncRNA from 1 species